rnacentral:rRNA from 1 species
GACAAGGACUUUCGGUCUGGCUUCUGGUCAGUACUGAAAGGACCAAGUCUUUUUUCUGGGGAGUCGGAGUGCACUUAAAUGUGUGCUCCGAGGAACCAGGACGAUUACCUUGAGAAAAAUAGAGUGUUCAAAGCAGGCGAUUGCUUGAAUACAUUAGCAUGGAAUAAUAAAAUAGGACGGCAUGGUUCUAUUUUGUUGGUUUCUAGGAUCACCGUA